rnacentral:rRNA from 1 species
GUAGGUGAACCUGCGGAAGGGAUCAUUG